GGGUCAGUAGGUUGGUCGUGCCACCGGUACGUACUGGUCUCACUGAUUCCUCCUUCCUGAAGAACCGUAAUGCCAUUAAUUUGGUGUUGCGGGGAAACAGGACUGUUACUUUGAAAAAAUUAGAGUGUUUAAAGCAAGCUAACGCUUGAGUACAUUAGCAUGGAGUAAUGAAAUAGGACGAUCGAUCCUAUUUUGUUGGUUUCUAGGAUUGACGUA
rnacentral:rRNA from 1 species